rnacentral:tRNA from 1 species
GGAAGGGUACAGCUCAGUGGUAGAGUACAUGCAUAGGAUGCAUGAGGUCCUGGGUUCAAUACCCAGUACCUCCA